GAUGAACGCUGGCGGCGUGCUUAACACAUGCAAGUCGAACGAUGAAGCCCAGCUUGCUGGGUGGAUUAGUGGCGAACGGGUGAGUAACACGUGAGUAACCUGCCCUUAACUCUGGGAUAAGCCUGGGAAACUGGGUCUAAUACCGGAUAGGAGCGUCCACCGCAUGGUGGGUGUUGGAAAGAUUUAUCGGUUUUGGAUGGACUCGCGGCCUAUCAGCUUGUUGGUGAGGUAAUGGCUCACCAAGGCGACGACGGGUAGCCGGCCUGAGAGGGGGACCGGCCACACUGGGACUGAGAGACGGCCCAGACUCCUACGGGGGGCAGCAGUGGGAAGUAUUGCACAGUGGGCGCAAGCGUGAUGCGGCGACGCCGCGUGAGGAAUGACGGCCUUCGGGUUGUAAACCUCUUUCAGUAGGGAAGAAGCGAAAGUGACGGUACCUGCAGAAGAAGCACCGGCUAACUACGUG
rnacentral:rRNA from 1 species